GAUUAGGUGAGGAGUUAAAUAUGAGAAGCCUUCGGAGUCGAAACAUGGAAAGACGCCCGGAGGUUUUUCUUUGGA
rnacentral:Y_RNA from 1 species